CCAAAGGCUCUUUUCAGAGCCCCCCACCAAUUCAAAGGAAGAGCUA
rfam:Canis lupus familiaris chromosome 35, whole genome shotgun sequence.